UCCGAAUUGGUGUAGUGGCCAACAUUUGACGCUCUCAUUUGCAUCACCAGAUGUAGAGAAGUGCCGUCAAGCCCGGGGUUCGAUUCCCCGAUUCGGAG